rnacentral:rRNA from 1 species
AACGAACGCUGGCGGCAGGCCUAACACAUGCAAGUCGAACGCCGUAGCGAUACGGAGUGGCAGACGGGUGAGUAACGCGUGGGAACAUACCCCUCGGUUCGGAAUAACUCAGGGAAACUUGAGCUAAUACCGGAUACGUCCAAGGUUUUAAUUCGACCUUGGAGAAAGAUUUAUCGCCGGAGGAUUGGCCCGCGUCUGAUUAGCUUGUUGGUGAGGUAAUGGCUCACCAAGGCGACGACAGUAGCUGGUCUGAGAGGAUGAUCAGCCACAUUGGGACUGAGACACGGCCCAAACUCCUACGGGCGGGCAGCAGUGGGGAAUAUUGCGCAAUGGGCGAAAGCCUGACGCAGCGACGCCGCGUGUGGGAUGAAGGUCUUCGGAUUGUAAACCACUGUCGGGGAGGGACGAAGCUCUGACGGUACCUACCAAAGGAAGCACCGGCUAACUCUGUGCCAGCAG